rnacentral:misc_RNA from 1 species
GAUGAAGAACGCAGUGAAAUGCGAUAAGUAAUGUGAAUUGCAGAAUUCAGUGAAUCAUCGAAUCUUUGAACGCACCUUGCGCUCCUUGGUAUUCCGAGGAGCAUGCCUGUUUGAGUGUCAUUAAUAUAUCAACCUUCUCUUUUUUGAGUUGUUUGGAUGUGGGGGUUUGCUGGCCUCUUAAAUGAUUCAGCUCCCCUGAAAUGCAUUAGCAGAACAACCUGUUCAUUGGCGUGAUAAUUAUCUAUGCUAUUGAAUGUGAGAGCAGUUCAGCUUUCUAACCGUCCUUGGACAAUUCAUCAUUAAUGUGACCUCAAAUCAGGUAGGACUACCCGCUGAACUUAAGCAUAUCAAUAAGCGGAGGA